AUACGUAGGGAGCGAGCGUUGUCCGGAAUUACUGGGUGUAAAGGGAGCGUAGGCGGAACUGCAAGUCAGAUGUGAAAUACCGGGGCUUAACCCCGGAGCUGCAUUUGAAACUGUGGUUCUUGAGUGAAGUAGAGGCAAGCGGAAUUCCUGGUGUAGCGGUGAAAUGCGUAGAUAUCAGGAGGAACACCGGUGGCGAAGGCGACUUUCUGGCUGACAACUGACGCUGAGGCGCGAAAGCGUGGGGAGCAAACAGGAUUAGAUACCCUGGUAGUCCACGCUGUAAACGAUGAUUACUGGGUGUGGGGGGACUGACCCCUUCCGUGCCGCAGUUAACACAAUAAGUAAUCCACCUGGGGAGUACGGCCGCAAGGUUGAAACUCAAAUGAAUUGGCGGGG
rnacentral:rRNA from 1 species